rnacentral:rRNA from 1 species
UCUAUUAGAUCGCAUGAUUUGAUAGAUAAAACUCCGGUGGUUAUAGAUGGGCAUGCGUGACAUUAGCUAGUUGGUGAGGUAACGGCUCACCAAGGCAACGAUGUCUAGGGGUUCUGAGAGGAUGAUCCCCCACACUGGUACUGAGACACGGACCAGACUCCUACGGGAGGCAGCAGUGAGGAAUAUUGGUCAAUGGGCGCAAGCCUGAACCAGCCAUCCCGCGUGCAGGAUGAAGGCCCUAUGGGUCGUAAACUGCUUUUAUACACCAAGAAAAACUCCGAUGCGUUGGGGCUUGACGGUAGUGUAUGAAUAAGCAUCGGCUAACUCCGUGCCAGCAGCCGCGGUAAUACGGAGGAUGCAAGCGUUAUCCGGAUUCAUUGGGUUUAAAGGGUGCGUAGGCGGCUUUUUAAGUCAGUGGUGAAAUCCUGCCGCUUAACGGUAGAAUUGCCAUUGAUACUGAAGAGCUUGAGUCCAGUUGAGGUAAGCGGAAUGUGUAGUGUAGCGGUGAAAUGCUUAGAUAUUACACAGAACACCAAUUGCGAAGGCAGCUUACUAAACUGUCACUGACGCUGAUGCACGAAAGCGUGGGGAGCGAACAGGAUUAGAUACCCUGGUAGUCCACGCCGUAAACGAUGCUCACUCGCUGUUUGCGAUACACAGCAAGCGGCCAAGCGAAAGCAUUAAGUGAGCCAC